UACGGAGGGUGCAAGCGUUAUCCGGAUUCACUGGGUUUAAAGGGAGCGUAGGAGGGCAGGUAAGUCAGUGGUGAAAUCUUCGAGCUUAACUCGGAAACUGCCGUUGAUACUAUCUGUCUUGAAUACCGUGGAGAUGAGCGGAAUAUGUCAUGUAGCGGUGAAAUGCUUAGAUAUGACAUAGAACACCAAUUGCGUAGGCAGCUUACUACACGAUCAUUGACGCUGAGGCACGAAAGCGUGGGGAGCAAACAGG
rnacentral:rRNA from 1 species